rnacentral:rRNA from 1 species
CGAACGCUGGCGGCAGGCCUAACACAUGCAAGUCGAACGCUCGUAGCAAUACGAGAGUGGCAGACGGGUGAGUAACACGUGGGAACCUUCCCUAUGGUUCGGAAUAGCUCAGGGAAACUUGAGGUAAUACCGGAUAAGCCCUUACGGGGAAAGAUUUAUCGCCAUUGGAUGGGCCCGCGUCGGAUUAGCUAGUUGGUGAGGUAACGGCUCACCAAGGCGACGAUCCGUAGCUGGUCUGAGAGGAUGAUCAGCCACACUGGGACUGAGACACGGCCCAGACUCCUACGGGAGGCAGCAGUGGGGAAUAUUGGACAAUGGGCGCAAGCCUGAUCCAGCCAUGCCGCGUGAGUGACGAAGGCCUUAGGGUUGUAAAGCUCUUUUGGCGGGGAAGAUAAUGACGGUACCCGCAGAAUAAGCUCCGGCUAACUUCGU